AUGAACGCUGGCGGCGUGCCUAAUACAUGCCAGUCGAGCGAACAGACGAGGAGCUUGCUCCUCUGACGUUAGCGGCGGACGGGUGAGUAACACGUGGAUAACCUACCUAUAAGACUGGGAUAACUUCGGGAAACCGGAGCUAAUACCGGAUAAUAUAUUGAACCGCAUGGUUCAAUAGUGAAAGACGGUUUUGCUGUCACUUAUAGAUGGAUCCGCGCCGCAUUAGCUAGUUGGUAAGGUAACGGCUUACCAAGGCAACGAUGCGUAGCCGACCUGAGAGGGUGAUCGGCCAGCCUGGAACUGAGACACGGUCCAGACUCCUACGGGAGGCAGCAGUAGGGAAUCUUCCGGAAUGGGCGAAAGCCUGACGGAGCAACGCCGCGUGAGUGAUGAAGGUCUUCGGAUCGUAAAACUCUGUUAUUAGGGAAGAACAAAUGUGUAAGUAACUAUGCACGUAUUGACGGUACCUAAUCAGAAAGCCACGGCUAACUACGUG
rnacentral:rRNA from 1 species